UUCUGCCCCUUUCUCUCUCGUUCUCGCUCUCGAGCUCGGUGCGUCAGGGAUUCAGCGCCGCAGGGCCGACGAGACCGCUUCCGGCCGUGGCCGCUGCGGGGCGCUGCAGGGCCGGCCAGCCCUUUUCCUGCCCGCUUCCCCCUCCUCUCCCUCCGCCCCUCCAGGAGACCCCGCCCAGCGGCGCGGCGUCAGCGCUGGGCGGCCGGGGAAGGGACGCUCUGGGCUGUGUGAACUCUAUGGUUUCCAGGUCUGGCCGGGAGUCUAGGAGGGGGAUGGGAAUAACCAGAAGGGGCUUGGGGACAGGCUAGCGCGCCGGGGUUUGCUCUGGAAUUCUCACGCCCUACCGGGCUCGAGCACCCUAGCAUCUCCACGAUCGCCCCAGAUGGCCUGGAUGGAGAUAGGAACGACCGGCAAAAGCGGGAGAUAGACGGGGACCCGGGAAGGCGAGGGCGCGGUGACCUGAGCUGGAAUCCCAGAGGUACCGGAGGCAGGACACCGAACUUGAGUCGCACUUUUCGUGGCUGUAAAAAUAAGACUAACUAUGGUAAAAUAGAUCUGUGCGGCUUCUGGCACAUGACCUUAUUUAUUUAUUUGACAGACAGACAGCGAGAGAGGGAACACAAGCAGGGGGAGUGGGAGAAGCAGGCUUCCCGCCGACCAGGGAGCCCGAUGCGGGGCUAAAUCCCAGGACCCUGGGGCAAUGAUCUCAGCGUAAGGCAGAACGGCGAAAGACUGAGCCACCGAGGCGCCCCCUAAGAGUCUUCUUUAUCACUGCCGCCCCCACCCGCACAAGAAUUAAGAAUAUAAAAAGCUGAACACAAAAUAUAAAAUUUCUGAUUUAACUUUCAAAGAUGAAGAAAAUAUGAAAAGCUCUCCAUAAGAAAAAUUGAAGGCUCAAGAAAAGUCCUGUAAAAAUACCCAAGCUGCAUCAAAAUUAGGGCUUUUUGGCCAUCCAAGUGCCCGGUGGUUCAACAAAACUUCGUCCAGCACUGAAUGAAGGUCCUGUCCCCGUGCUGUAAUAAAGACACACCUUUUUGCACUGUAAAACGUCUCAACAAUUCUUUCUUCACCGUUCGGUUCAACAGUCCCGCAUUAAUAACCUAUACCAUUUACUGUCAACAAAUGUUUACUCAGAACCCAACUGGUGUUAGGUGCUCCCUGCCAGGCCAGGAAAUAGGGAAACUUAAAAAAAAAAAAAACAGCAACACAUAGCUUUGGCCCUCUAAAGUACUUACAGACGAGAGAAUGAAGAAAACAGGCAAGAAACCAGCAAGCUGCAAUACACUGUGACAAAGAAUGAGGCACAUACCUCUAAU